UACGUAGGUGGCAAGCGUUGUCCGGAUUUAUUGGGUUUAAAGGGUGCGUAGGCGGUCCCAUAAGUCAGUGGUGAAAUACUCUAGCUCAACUAGAGGGGUGCCAUUGAUACUGCGGGACUUGAGUGAAGUCGAAGUAGGCGGAAUUGACGGUGUAGCGGUGAAAUGCUUAGAUAUCGUCAAGAACACCGAUAGUGAAGACAGCUACAGACUUAUACUGACGCUGAGGCACGAAAGUGUGGGGAUCAAACAGG
rnacentral:rRNA from 1 species